UGUACAGUCUGUUCAUCGAUUACAUUACAACAUUAGAUCUGGAUUACAUCCCUAAAUAAGGCUAAAACAAGGGAAAUGAAAGAUCCACCAUAUGUGCAUUUGGAUCCAGCUGAUUUCUUCAAUUUUUUGGAUAGCAAUCAACUGUCAGUGGUGGAAGAUAUCAAAAGUCUACAAAAAGUAACGAAAGGUACACAAGGGAUUGUUAACAGGGAGCCCAGUUUUCGCCUAUGUGUUCCAGGUUCGCAGGAGGGUGGAGCAGUCUUCUCUAGCUUAUCUCCUACAACAUGAGCAACAAGAUUAAACAUGAAAAUGAAACAACUGGAAAUCCCACGUCGAAGCUUUAUGAAGUUAAUUUUCUCUCAUUUGUUCCCCAGAACAAAAAUAUAAAUUGUUAUCUUUAAUGUUACAAAUGAUAAAAAAAUAUUUUGAAAUAAAAUUGUGAUUAAUGUCUCCAACUUUAUUCAUUAAGGGCGCGUUUAUUGCUAUUUAACAAGCCUGUACAUAAUUGUCCUUAAAAUAGUCCUCUUCACACGGCUCCAGUUCUGAUACACCCGAGUUUUGAUCUUUCCUGCAGAGUUAACAGAACAAGCACUGCAGCAAGCAUACAGACUGGCGCAGGUGAGAUAACAUAAGGGAAACUUCAGACAUGUCCCAUCUUUGGUCAACAAACGCUCAAGUGUUGUAAAACAACAACGGAAAAUGUAAGGUAUCACGAAGAACAAUGAAAUUUUGCAGAGCAAAAGAACAAAUACAGUAGAAUACAAGUAAUCAGUUGACGGAGAGGGAUAAGUGCGUCGUCGCUUGGAAUGAAAAGUUGUUAGAAUACGAGACAAAACAGAUGGAAUACAAACAACUCUACUGAUGAUCUCGUCGGGAGAUAAAGGACGACGGAUAAAU